AAGCCAUGCGAGUCGAAUGUAGCAAUACAUGGCGAACUGCUCAGUAACACGUGGACAACCUGCCCUUAGGUUGGGUAUAAACCCGGGAAACUGGGUAUAAUACCCGAUAGGUCUCGAUUGCUGGAAUGCAUCGAGAUUUAAAGCUCCGGCGCCUAAGGAUGGGUCUGCGGCCUAUCAGGUAGUAGUGGGUGUAGCGUACCUACUAGCCUACGACGGGUACGGGUUGUGAGAGCAAGAGCCCGGAGAUGGAUUCUGAGACACGAAUCCAGGCCCUACGGGGUGCAGCAGGCGCGAAAACUUUACAAUGCUGGCAACAGCGAUAAGGGAACCUCGAGUGCCAGGUUACAAAUCUGGCUGUCGAGAUGCCUAAAAAGCAUUUCAUAGCAAGGGCCGGGCAAGACCGGUGCCAGCCGCCGCGGUAACACCGGCGGCUCGAGUGGUAACCGUUAUUAUUGGGUCUAAAGGGUCUGUAGCCGGCCGGAUAAGUCUCUUGAGAAAUCUGGCAGCUUAACUGUCAGGCUUUCAGGAGAUACUGUCUGGCUCGAGGCCGGGAGAGGUGAGAGGUACUUCAGGGGUAGGGGUGAAAUCUUGUAAUCCUUGAAGGACCACCAGUGGCGAAGGCGUCUCACCAGAACGGACCUGACGGCAAGGGACGAAAGCUAGGGGCACGAACCGGAUUAGAUACCCGGGUAGUCCUAGCCGUAAACGAUACUCGCUAGGUGUCGGCCACGGUGCGACCGUUGUCGGUGCCGUAGGGAAGCCGUGAAGCGAGCCACCUGGGAAGUACGGCCGCAAGGCUGAAACUUAAAGGAAUUGGCGGGGGAGCACCACAACGGGUGGAGCUUGCGGUUUAAUUGGAUUCAACGCCGGG
rnacentral:rRNA from 1 species